rnacentral:rRNA from 1 species
AACGUAGGAGACAAACGUUAUCCGGAGUUACUGGGCGUAAAGGGCGUGUAGGUGGUUCUGUAAGUCUGGCGUGAAAUUUCUCGGCUUAACCGAGGCAGGUCGUCGGAUACUGCAGGGCUAGAGGACGGUAGAGGCGUGUGGAAUUCCGGGUGUAGUGGUGAAAUGCGUAGAGAUCCGGAGGAACACCAGUGGCGAAGGCGACACGCUGGGCCGUACCUGACACUGAUGCGCGGACAGCAUGGGGAGCAAACAGG